rnacentral:rRNA from 1 species
UACGAAGGGAGCUAGCGUUGUUCGGAAUCACUGGGCGUAAAGCGCACGUAGGCGGGUGUGUCAGUCAGGGGUGAAAUCCCGGAGCUCAACUUCGGAACUGCCUUUGAUACAGCACAUCUGGAGUCCGGAAGAGGUGGGUGGAAUUCCUAGUGUAGAGGUGAAAUUCGUAGAUAUUAGGAAGAACACCGGUGGCGAAGGCGGCCCACUGGUCCGGUACUGACGCUGAGGUGCGAAAGCGUGGGGAGCAAACAGG